rnacentral:rRNA from 1 species
AGCGAACGCUGGCGGCAGGCCUAACACAUGCAAGUCGAACGCCGUAGCAAUACGGAGUGGCAGACGGGUGAGUAACACGUGGGGAUCUGCCCGAUGGUACGGAAUAAUUCCGGGAAACUGGGACUAAUACCGUAUGAGCCCGCAAGGGGAAAGAUUUAUCGCCAUCGGAUGAACCCGCGUCAGAUUAGCUAGUUGGCGGGGUAAAGGCCCACCAAGGCGACGAUCUGUAGCUGGUCUGAGAGGAUGAUCAGCCACACUGGGACUGAGACACGGCCCAGACUCCUACGGGAGGCAGCAGUGGGGAAUAGUGGACAAUGGGCGCAAGCCUGAUCCAGCCAUGCCGCGUGAGUGAUGAAGGCCUUAGGGUUGUAAAGCUCUUUCGCCGACGAAGAUAAUGACGGUAGUCGGAGAAGAAGCCCCGGCUAACUUCGUGCCAGCCGCCGCCGUAAGAC